GGGGCUGAUUCUGGAUUCGACGGGAUUUGCGAAACCCAAGGUGCAUGCCGAGGGGCGGUUGGCCUCGUAAAAAGCCGCAAAAAAAUAGUCGCAAACGACGAAAACUACGCUUUAGCAGCUUAAUAACCUGCUUAGAGCCCUCUCUCCCUAGCCUCCGCUCUUAGGACGGGGAUCAAGAGAGGUCAAACCCAAAAGAGAUCGCGCGGAUGCCCUGCCUGGGGUUGAAGCGUUAAAACGAAUCAGGCUAGUCUGGUAGUGGCGUGUCCGUCCGCAGGUGCCAGGCGAAUGUAAAGACAGACUAAGCAUGUAGUACCGAGGAUGUAGGAAUUUCGACGCGGGUUCAACUCCCGCCAGCUCCACCA
rnacentral:tmRNA from 1 species